GGAUAACGAUUCUUUUAUAUUUUUCUUUAAUCUUUCUUCUUGUAAGAUUAAUUCUAAUCUAAAGGAAUUAUAUAGAUAUAUAAGGAAAUAUUGAGAAUAUAUGAAAGUAUAAAAUCAAAUAAGAGUGGUAUAGUAUAGGUGAAACCUAAGUAAAAUUCAUAUUAUUUUAAGGUUACUAAAAUAUAAAAUAUACAUUGUCAGAAUGCAAUCUAAUAAUAUACAGGAAGGUUUUGCCACAAAAGCUAUUCACGCUGGUCAAGAUCCGGCGCAAUGGAGUCAUUGGUCGUUAGUUCCACCUUUAGUAAUGUCUACCACCUUUCAGCAAAAUGCUCCGGCAGAACAUAACGGUUACGAGUAUGGCAGAAGUGGUAACCCAACGCGCAAUGUAUUGGAGACUUGUUUAACGGCAUUGGAAGGUGGAAAGCAUGGUUUUACUUUUUCAUCGGGUUUGGGAGCCAUCACAGCUAUAACCGGCUUAUUGCAAACUGGCGAUCACAUAAUUUCUGGAGAUGACGUAUAUGGUGGAACUAAUCGUCUCUUUCGAAACUGUCUAGUUAAACAAGGUAUUAAAAUUUCUUUUGUCGAUCUGACAGACGUAGAAAAUCUUGCGGCUGCUAUACAACCAAAUACCAAGAUGGUUUGGUUGGAGACGCCUACAAAUCCUUUAUUAAAAAUAGCAGAUAUUGAAGAAAUUGCAAAUGUUUUAAAGUCUAAAAAUUCAGAUAUCAUUUUGAUAGUCGAUAAUACUUUCCUGACGUGUUAUUAUCAAAAACCAUUAGAGCUCGGAGCUGAUCUUGUAGUAUAUUCUUUAACAAAAUAUAUGAACGGACAUUCGGAUAUUAUCAUGGGUGCAGUAAUUACAAGGAGAGACGAUUUAGCGGAAAAGCUUCGUUUUUUACAAAAUGCAAUGGGAAUAAUUCCGUCGCCUUUUGAUUGUGCCAUGGUCAAUCGUAGUUUGAAAACUUUAGAACUUAGAAUGCAGCGGCAUAUGAAAAAUGGAUUAACCGUUGCCAAAUUUUUAGAUAAUCAUCCUCUAGUGGAUAAAGUUAUUCACCCUUAUCUCCCGUCUCAUCCGCAAUAUCAACUUGCUCUUAAACAAUCAACAGGUCACAGUGGCAUAGUAUCAUUUUAUAUUAAAGGAAAUGCCAAAAAAUUUUUGAAAAGUCUUAAAAUAUUUGCUUUAGCAGAAUCGCUUGGUGGUUAUGAAUCUUUGGCAGAAUUACCAUCCGUUAUGACUCAUGCUUCUGUCCCAGAAGUCACAAGGAAUGAACUAGGAAUUACUGAUCAGUUAGUUCGUUUAUCCGUCGGACUUGAAACGGAAAAAGAUUUGUUAGCAGAUCUUAAUCAAGCUUUAGAAGCUUCUCAAUGAUACGAAAAAUAUUAUUCACGUGUAAUUAUUUUUAAAUAUUUCAACAUUACAGAUCGCCGACAUUGAAACUACGUAACACACACACACACACACACACACACACACACACACACACACACUGGCAGCCUUUCUGUUGAGUUAGAAAGGAGAGACAUAUAAAUUAUUAGAAAUUAUUUUUUUUAAAGAAUGUUUAAUAUAACACAUUCCAGUAAUCACAAGCCGAAUAAGAAUGCAAUAGUGGUCUAUUUUGCUACGUGCUUUGCAUCGAUUUUUGAGAUCGUAUAUAUAUAUAUAUAUAUUUUUUUAUAUAUAUGUUAUAUAACUGCUGUUAUUAUUAGUUUCAUUAUUUGAUGAAAAGAAAUUAGUCAAUAUAAAUUUCCUCCUUGCCUGAUCGCAUAUCUAUGCAUAGAUUUGUACAUUUCUUUAUAUCCAUAUACUACUGGCGAAAAAAAAAAAGAAAAAGAAAUUGCCAAAUAUAGUCUUUUAUUUACA